GCACAGCCCCACCUUGGUGUGGGAGAGGUCACCCAUGCAGAGUGCCACCCAUCAAUGAGGGAAUAGUGAUGCCACUAUUAAAUGUGAUGUUUCAUGAAUGGUUCUUUUCACUUUCACAGCUGAACUAGCAGACAACCCUUAAGCUGAAGAAGCACCCAUCACUUAAGCUGAAGAAACAUGCAUCUCUUAAGGCUUGCAUCUUCCCUCUACCUCUAUACUCCAAGUUCCUGGCUGGCACUGGAAUUACAUCCUUAGCAUGGGCAUCACAACAUCUAGGUGAGAUUCAGGCUUGUUUCCAGUAAGAAACCCUGACAGAAAUUCAGAAGAACGGGAGCUGCGUUCCAUUAGGACUUGAAUACACGAAACG
rnacentral:lncRNA from 1 species